GAUGGAGAGGGAAAUCAACGAGAGAAAAUCUAGUGUGAUCUGGGAGUGCAAAACAGAGUGGUGGCUGCAUACUUUGAGACACGAUUUCGACCUCGACUCGUGUCUUCGUUGGAACUGGUACCGGGCUGCUCAAUAAUCUUUUCAGGAUCUAUCCAGUUUGAUUCCUUAAAUAAUCUAGACGCGUCUAGAGUUAUUUAAAAAGAUAUCGAUUAAGAUGCAACCGUAUACCGGAAUCUUUGUCGGUGAGAGUGAAGGUGAAGGAGGUGGCCUCUCGUAAGGCUGUGCGUUUAGGGCCGACGCUGGUGCAACCCUCGGGCUGGCAGAAAUAAACCAUGUCCAAAGUUUUCUUAAUUAUGAGAAGCAGCGAUAAACGAUACCUGCACAGGCUGACGAGAGACUGAGGGCAAUCUAGCCCCCACGAUGGCGAGAUAAUCCACCAAGCGGGGGCACAGGUGUUUCUUCUGUAUAUCCAUAGCUGUAAUUUACAGCUCUGUCACCGUUCUAUGCAAUGUGUACGAGUCAUCUGAGCCGUUCGCUUUUUCUCAGGAUCACCUCCCGAUCGAAUCAUCCUUGUAUCAUUCUUCAAUUGGUCUUCCACAUCUGAAAACGAUCGAAUCAAUACCACGUACAUACAACAACCUUCCCCGGCAUAAAUGUCCCCGGAUGAUUAGAAUGAAAUGGAUUAAUUGAUAGUACGACUGCUAGUACGCGAAACAAUAUUUGGAGCACGGCUCUCAUUGAUUUCUCGAACCUCGUGACCUAUAUAUCAAGUUAACAAGAACCACAAAAAUGCUCGGCCAUUGUACAAGGUGAAAAUACAUGCCCAUCGAUAGAGGAGCUUUUCUACAACGUGUCGUGAUACGUCAUUCGUGAUUGAUGUCGUGGCUUUUUACGAAUCGACGAAUAUAAGGAGAAUAGUGAUGAAAACGAGAAAGAUUGAUGAUUCGAGUGACGAAGGAUUCGAAGGAAGGACUUACGUGUCGUUUAACAAGGAUAGUCGGUGAUCACUAUUUUAACAGUGCCAUGGGAAAAAGCCAGAGGCUCAUAUACGCUCCGCAUCGCCCAAAUGGCGAUACCAUACUGACGAUCGUUCGCAGCAAAGCUACUAGGCAGGCGUGCAACCAGGGGCGGCACUUGCGUUGUAAAAAGGACAUCGUUACCCUGAACUGAUAGCGAGCCCGGAUGUACCAGGCUGCUUCUCCGAUGCUUUUCAACAACUUCAUUCAACCUCGUCUUCCAUUAUAAUUAAAUUUGUGAUGCGAGUGAUGACCCUCCACAUCAGUCAGCACGUUGAAGUUCUUUGUCAGAAACAUAAUUGAAAGGAGUUUGGUCUGCUUUUGAUUGAAUUGCUGACAAAACACGUCGAUAAAGCCAUUGAUUCAAAGUUCAGAAUAGACGAAGGAUGAGUGCGCAAAACUAAUGUGAUUAAGGAGUACGUAAGAAAGGAGAGUCCGGCUGCGCAAUAUGACGUUGCACCUUCCGAACGACUACUACAAUGUUGGAUAAGGAACGUGUACCAUCCUCGAGAAUGGAUGGCCUCAUUGCAUAGACGUGCUUGCUACCAGCUGGAUCAAUAACUUUGUCAGGCUUAGUUGGAUGUUCGGGAACGUGGAGGUGGAAAACAGGGACGUAGAAACUAUAUUCGAAGGUCUAAGAGCCCUUUAAAUCAACAAUAUUCAAUUAUUUCAAUGAAAAACUGAGAGUUUUAUAAUGAACUGUAACUGAAGAUAGACAAAUUAAAUUUAUUUUUAUUAUUCUAAUGUU